ACUCCUACGGGAGGCAGCAGUGGGGAAUAUUGCACAAUGGGCGAAAGCCUGAUGCAGCGACGCCGCGUGAGGGACGACGGCCUUCGGGUUGUAACCUCUUUCAGUAGGGAACAAUGGCAUCAUUUUUGUGGUGUUGUAGGGUACUUGCAGAAGAAGCACCGGCUAACUACGUGCCAGCAGCCGCGGUAAUACGUAGGGUGCAAGCGUUAUCCGGAAUUAUUGGGCGUAAAGAGCUCGUAGGCGGUUUGUCGCGUCUGUCGUGAAAGUCCGGGGCUCAACUCCGGAUCUGCGGUGGGUACGGGCAGACUAGAGUGAUGUAGGG
rnacentral:rRNA from 1 species